GAAGAGAAGUGAAAGCGAACUCAUGGAGAAGGCGAAGCAGCUGCUGGAAUUGACUCAGGAUGAAGCCGACGCCGUCGAGAAACUCUCCGUCCGGCCAAAGAAAACCGGAGAGUCAUCCUUCUAUACCUUCUUCGCUCUCAGAGGCAUCCGAGUCGACCGUGUCGAACCAGGGCUCGUCGUUUGUACCUUCAAGGUCCCCCCCCGCCUCACAGAUCGAUCGGGGAAACUGGCAUCGGGAGCGAUCGCAAACCUAGUGGAUGAAAUUGGUUGCGCCGUAAUCUAUGAUGAAGCCCUACCCGAGCCGGUCUCCACCGACAUGUCGAUCUCGUAUAUGUCGACUGCCGACGUCGAUGAUGAACUGGAAAUUGUAUCGAAGCUUUUAGGGCAGAAAGGGCGUUAUUCCGGAACCAGUGUGAUUAUUACGAACAAAAGGAAUGGAGAAAUUGUUGCUGAAGGAAGGCAUUCGUUGUUCAGCAUACG
rnacentral:misc_RNA from 1 species